rnacentral:RNase_P_RNA from 1 species
GAAGCUGGCCAGACAGUCGCCGCGCACCUCUGGUGCGGGGAGGAAAGUCCGGGCUCCAGAGAGCAGAAUGCCGGUUAAUGGCCGGACACCGCGAGGUGAUGAAAAGUGCCACAGAAAAUAAACCGCCGAUGGCUGUGCAAACAGAUCAGGUAAGGAUGAAACGGUGCGGUAAGAGCGCACCGCGCUCCCGGUAACGGGAGUGGCACGGUAAACUCCAUUCGGAGCAAGAUCAAAUAGGCUGACUAUGGCGUGGCUCGCGUCGUCAGCGGGUAGAUUGCUUGAGCGUAAGGUAACGAAACGCCUAGAGGAAUGACUGUCCACGACAGAACCCGGCUUAUCGGCCAGCUUCACCU